UCCUCCUCCCCAAUCCCCAAACCCCACGUUCUCACUCCUGCCAAUCCGACCAGCGUGUCCCAGAGAAUGGUGGCGGCGCGGAGGGUAACCAGCGAGAAGACGGAGCCGGUACGGACGACCACGGUGGUGGGCGACAGUAGGCCUUGAUGAGCUCCUCCCGGAAGAGGCCGGCGACGCGGAAGGCUCCCUUUUCCAUCUAGGAUCUGGUGGCCGAAUGAGGCAGAGGUGAGUGGAGGAUUCGAGCGCACCCCACGUCUCUGCUCAUCUUCUUCACCUUCACUCACAACUUCCCCGGUAGCGGCGGUGUGAUGACUGGUCUGCACACGGGCGACUUCUCCUCUCCUCUCACCAACAUGAGUUGACGGCGAAGCUAGGGACUGAUCCGCGCGCUGCCCUACUGUCCUCCUUCAUCAAGCUCUCGAUCUGGAGGUGUACAUGUCCAUGAUGGUCUUGACAGUGUUGCUGCUACGGAAGAGCGUCGGCGACUAUUGAAAGCUGCAGAUGAUGUGGAUUGAUUCCAAAUGAAAAUUGCUAGCAAUAAGGUGGGUCUUGUUAUUGGGAAGGGUGAUGACUGAUGAGGCUAUAAAAUCAACACAUUGCCAAUUGUGGAGCUCGUAUACAGGUUUCUACUCUUAUGUAUGCCCAGGGCAAGUAAAAUCAAGUCCCAUUUUGAUUGUGCUAAAUCGGAAGCAUAACCCAAAUUCCUGCUUUUGCCAUUCCUUGCCCCGGGUGAUCCUGCAACUAGAAGAACACUGUAUAUUGAUGCCACAGAAGAGCGAAUCGAAAUCGCAAAGCAGCUCGUUAGUGUGGUUACCAGUGAGUUGCCGCUCCUGAAGAUUUGGGGAAAAGUAGCGGAUGAGAGCUUUGAGAUACUUGAUAGGCUGUCUGUUCUUCCUUUACCUGAAUAUACACCGCUCUAUCUAGGAUCUGGAUGGCACACCAGAAAAUUAAGUUGUAGAUCAAAUAAGAAACAACAUAGAUCUGUCUUGCGUUCCUAGCUAUGUUCCUAAUUCCGAUAGUCCCAUAAUUAAGUAAUUGCUUUUUUGCUUGUCUGCAUAUUGUCAAAACAUCUGUACAAUGCGGAAAAGUUCAAUGGCCAUGCCCAUGUAGCAGCUUUGCUC